UGGGGAAUAUUGCACAAUGGGGGAAACCCUGAUGCAGCAACGCCGCGUGAAUGAUGAAGGCCUUUGGGUCGUAAAAUUCUGUUCUUAGGGAAGAAAAAAAUGACGGUACCUAAGGAGAAAGCCCCGGCUAACUACGUGCCAGCAGCCGCGGUAAUACGUAGGGGGCGAGCGUUAUCCGGAAUUAUUGGGCGUAAAGAGUACGUAGGCGGUUUUGUAAGCGCAAGGUGAAAGGCAGUGGCUCAACCAUUGUAAGCCUUGCGAACUGUGAGACUUGAGUUCAGGAGAGGAAAGCGGAAUUCCUAGUGUAGCGGUGAAAUGCGUAGAUAUUAGGAGGAACACCAGUGGCGAAGGCGGCUUUCUGGACUGAAACUGACGCUGAGGUACGAAAGCGUGGGGAGCAAACAGG
rnacentral:rRNA from 2 species